rnacentral:lncRNA from 1 species
CCACAAUCUGCCAGUACUUCCAUAUGUUUUAUUCGCUUACUAAACUGUUUUCGGCAGCGAAUACACAAAUGAAACGUGCGUGCUAGGCUAUAUAGAUCGAUGUACAACAAAUGCAGCGAUGUGAUGUGAUGCAGAUUUAGAUUUAUUUUUGCACAAUUUGAUGGAGGGGCGUUUGAACGUUUUAUUGUUGUUUGCUGGCAAUAAGCCUUGUUUUUUCGCUGACUGCAAACGCUUUGGGGAAACAUAUGCAAAUAUCUGCUGGGGAAAAUAUGUGCAAAUGAUUUUACAGUGUGAAGCACGUGGCCCUGCUAUGGAAGUGGCCUGGCCGUGGCCGUGGUCCACCUGCAGCAGAUGCUGUUCCGAACCCUGAAUGCAAUUAAUCACCCUGGCAACCCUACGCGCGGUCCAAAAUUCAAUUUUCAAAACUAAACAGCCACAGUGGUACCUCUUCGCUUGCCUCCACCUGGUCGAGGACCAUCAGCUUGCCUCGUUUGCCUUUCACGAGUCGUGGCAAAUGUCUAAAGCCGCUAAAUAUGACCGUCCCAUUCCGACCCGUUCGU